UCGUCACCUGAGAGGAUAAACAGGAUUUACCUUGGUCUGUAGGCAUUAACUCUGUGAGCUUUAAAAUCCAACCUGUUCUCAGAGUGACUGCCUGCCCAACUGCACUGCAUUACACUGAGUUCCUCCAAAAUGCUGAGACUCCUGGUCACCCUGAGAGCUGGGCAAAUAGGACUUUUGCAAGGUUCUGUAAAAGCAUUUGACAACCUGCCUAUAAACUGCUGUACCUGGAGGAAUAUUGCUUGCCUGAUUCCUACAGAGAUUACAUGGUUGUUCAACUAUGAGACAAUACAAGACUUGCCUUGGUUGCUUUGGAAAAUGAUGACUUGCAUCUAAGAGACCUCAACUGUCCUUAGUUUGAAGAUCCCUAAUUGAAAAGAAGCUGAAUACACAUUAUUGAUAAGUAGUACUUAUUUCAUUAGUUUAGUUUUUUUUUUUUUCCUUUGACAAACCAUAAAUGUGUUUUCCACAAUAAAGCUAUCAGAGGGCAUGAAAAAGCUUCUAAAAGUUUCUUGGAGCAAA